rnacentral:rRNA from 1 species
GACGAACGCUGGCGGCGUGCUUAACACAUGCAAGUCGAACGGUAAGGCCCUUCGGGGUACACGAGUGGCGAACGGGUGAGUAACACGUGGGGGAUCUGCCCUGCACUUCGGGAUAAGCCUGGGAAACUGGGUCUAAUACCGGCUAUGACUCCUGCCUACAUGGGCGGGGGUGGAAAGCUUUUGCGGUGUGGGAUGGGCCCGCGGGCUAUCGGCUUGUGGGGGGGGUGAUGGCCUACCAAGGCGACGACGGGUAGCCGGCCUGAGAGGGUGACCGGCCACACUGGGACUGAGAUACGGCCCAGACUCCUACGGGAGACAGCAGUGGGGAAUAUUGCACAAUGGGCGCAAGCCUGAUGCAGCGACGCCGCGUGAGGGAUGACGGCCUUCGGGUUGUAAACCUCUUUCAGCACAGACGAAGCGCAAGUGACGGUAUGUGCAGAAGAAGGACCGGCCAACUACGUGCCAGUAGCCGCCGUAA